rnacentral:rRNA from 1 species
AAUAGAUACCCCGGUAGUCCACGCCGUAAACGAUGGAUGCUAGCUGUUAUCGGUAUCGACCCCGGUAGUGGCGAAGCUAACGCGUUAAGCAUCCCGCCUGUGGAGUACGGUCGCAAGACUAAAACAUAAAGGAAUUGACGGGGACCCGCACAAGCGGUGGAGCGUGUUGUUUAAUUCGAUGGUAAGCGAAGAACCUUACCCAGGUUUGACAUCCUUGGAAGUUUUCCGAAAGGAAAAUGUGCUUUUGAACCAAGUGACAGGUGAUGCACGGCCGUCGUCAGCUCGUGUCGUGAGAUGUUUGGUUAAGUCCAUCAACGAGCGCAACCCUUGUGAUUAGUUGGAUUUUUCUAAUCAGACUGCCCUGGCAACAGGGAGGAAGGAGGGGAUGAUGUCAGGUCCGUAUCUCCCUUAUAUCUGGGGCCACAAACACGCUACAAUGGCCGGUACAAAGGGCAGCCAAGUCGCGAGACGGAGCAAAUCCCAUCAAAGCCGGUCCCAGUUCGGAUAGCAGGCUGAAACCCGCCUGCUUGAAGUCGGAAUCGCUAGUAACGGU